rnacentral:lncRNA from 1 species
UGGAAGUCUUGGGGACUAGCUUAUCUUUAGUAAACCGUUAUGUUCCCUGGAAGUCUUGAUUUGCCGUAAUUCCUUAUCCUUGUUGGAUUCAACUUCCACGUUCUAUAUUUGGAUUAAAUUUGGCCUCGGAAGGCCAAAUUUCACGUCGGUUUAGGUCUAGUUUGUUGCUAUAAGAGCCCUACUGACUCUGAAGCUUAACCUGAGAUUACAUUAACCGCCAUGCAACCAAAGUCAAUAUGUUACACCCUUAACCUGAGAUUGCUUUGACCCUUUGUUUGCAAAUCCUGAUAGUUGGGACAAGGUUUAGUAAUUAUGAUUUAUGGGUUUUCAUGUUUGGAUUUGUAGAGUCAUGAAAGUGGAGCACUCUGCUUGUAUUGGUUGUGCAAUCACUUGGGAUUAAGCUGCAAAACAAAAAUAAUACUGUUGCUAUUACUUACGUAUAGAUUGUUCUGCACUUUUACCCA